UUUAAGUGCAGCUGUAGAUUUUCGUAUCCAACAUUUGAUCGUUCAUAUUAUUUAAUUUUUUAUAAUUAGUAUUUCUAUUGUUAUUAGAUUAUAAAACAUAAAUAGCACUUUAUGUAUACUUUAUUUUUAAUUUUUUUUAAAUAAAAUAAAUGGUUAAAUGUUGAAGACGAAGAUUUAUCACUUCACUUAGA
rfam:Oryza rufipogon genomic scaffold, chr01